CCUACGGGAGGCAGCAGUGGGGAAUAUUGGGCAAUGGGCGCAAGCCUGACCCAGCAACGCCGCGUGAAGGAAGAAGGCUUUCGGGUUGUAAACUUCUUUUAUCAGGGACGAAGAAAGUGACGGUACCUGAGGAAUAAGCCACGGCUAACUACGUGCCAGCAGCCGCGGUAAUACGUAGGCGGAAAUCGUUGUCCGGAUUUACUGGGUGUAAAGGGCGUGUAGCCGGGUUGACAAGUCAGAUGUGAAAUCCCGCGGCUUAACCGCAGAACUGUAUUUGAAACUGUUGAUCUGGAGUACUGGAGAGGCAGAUGGAAUUCCUAGUGUAGCGGUGAAAUGCGUAGAUAUUAGGAGGAACACCAGUGGCGAAGGCGGUCUGCUGGACAGCAACUGACGGUGAGGCGCGAAAGCGUGGGGAGCAAACAGGAUUAGAUACCCCGGUAGUC
rnacentral:rRNA from 1 species